ensembl:snRNA U5 U5 spliceosomal RNA
UGCUCUUGUUUCUCUUCAGAUCGUAUAAAUCUUUCGCCUUUUACUAAAGAUUUCCGUGGAGAGGAACAACAAGAGUUUCACUCAAUUUUUUGAUGCCCUGCGUGAGUGGGGCU